rnacentral:rRNA from 1 species
UACGUAGGGGGGCUAGCGUUGUCCGGAUUUAUUGGGCGUAAAGAGCGUGUAGGCGGUUUGGUAGGUCCGCUGUGAAAACUCGAGCUCAACCUCGAGACGCCGGUGGAAACCAUCAGACUAGAGUCCGGAAGAGGAGAGUGGAAUUCCUGGUGUAGCGGUGAAAUGCGCAGAUAUCAGGAAGAACACCCCGUGGCUAAGGCGGCUCUCUAGUACGGUACUGACGCUGAGACGCGAAAGCGUGGGGGAGCGAACAGG